rnacentral:rRNA from 1 species
GAUGAACGCUGGCGGCGUGCCUAAUACAUGCAAGUCGAGCGAACGGACGAGGAGCUUGCUCCUCUGACGUUAGCGGCGGACGGGUGAGUAACACGUGGAUAACCUACCUAUAAGACUGGGAUAACUUCGGGAAACCGGAGCUAAUACCGGAUAAUAUAUUGAACCGCAUGGUUCAAUAGUGGAAGACGGUUUUGCUGUCACUUAUAGAUGGAUCCGCGCCGCAUUAGCUAGUUGGUAAGGUAACGGCUUACCAAGGCAACGAUGCGUAGCCGACCUGAGAGGGUGAUCGGCCACACUGGAACUGAGACACGGUCCAGACUCCUACGGGAGGCAGCAGUAGGGAAUCUUCCGCAAUGGGCGAAAGCCUGACGGAGCAACGCCGCGUGAGUGAUGAAGGUCUUCGGAUCGUAAAACUCUGUUAUUAGGGAAGAACAAAUGUGUAAGUAACUAUGCACGUCUUGACGGUACCUAAUCAGAAAGCCACGGCUAACUACGUG